rnacentral:rRNA from 1 species
AUGUGUGCUGCAAAAAGAGUUGGGGGUUUAGGGUUUCGGGAUCCAGAGGGCUUCAACCAAGCAUUGCUAGCAAAACAAGCGUGGAGGAUUUUGCAAGAACCGAACUCACUAUGCGCAAGGGUCCUCAAGGCCCGCUAUUUCAAGGAGCAAUCUAUCAUGACGGCCACAUGCCCUUCCAACGCCUCCUACACCUUUCGCAGUGUGCUGCAUGGGAGAGAUCUCUUAAGGGAGGGAACAAUAUGGCGCAUAGGAGACGGGUCGAAGGUGAAUAUUCAUCACGAUAACUGGAUUCCGAGGCAGGGAAGUUUGAAGCCAUUGGGCCAACUCUUCAUACCCGGUGUGGCAAGGGUGGCAGAUUUGUUAACUCUCGACGGCCGUUCAUGGGACGCAGCAAAGGUGGAUGCCAUGUUUAGUCCGACUGAUGCAGCGGAUAUCAAACACAUCGCUAUUGGGGGUCCGGAAGAACAGGAUUACAUGGCCUGGAACUACACAAAAAAUGGGUGUUUUACUGUCAAAUCUGCAUACCACCUGAGAAAGGCGAUGGGAAGAACGAGGACCGGACAGCUGGAAUACAGUGACUGCACACAAGGGGUUCAUGGCGCUGUGGGACACAUGUGCACCGGCAAAAGCAAAGAUUCAUAUGUGGCGUUUGAUUAA